UGAGGACGCCAAAUCCUUUAUCAUUCAAAUGGCGUCAGGACCCCCUGUAAAGUGGCUUGGGGAUGGGCCCGCGACAGAUCAGGUUACGGAGAGGUAAUGACUCACCAAGCGCAUAACCGGUACGGGGAUUAGAGCGGUAGCCCGGAGAUGUGCUCCAGACAAGGACCCAGGCCAUACGGGGCGCAGCAGUCGCGAAAAGUCUUCAAUGCAAGAAAGUGUCACGGGGCUACCCGAAGUGCCAUCUACCCCAGAAGGCUUUUCCUUGGUAUAACCAUCCAGGCGAAUAAGGAUAUGGCAAGACUGGUGUCAGCCGUCGCGGUAAUACCAGCUAUACGAGUGGUAGGGAUGAUUAUUGGGUUUAAAGCGUCAGUCACCGGCUUAGCAAGUAUCCUGUUAAAUUCAGCGACGGCUGACACCAGUCGCGGGAGAUCCUUAUUCCCUAGGAGGGGGGAGAGGUCAACGGCCAUCCUGGGGUAGGGGUGAAAUCCUAUAAUCCCAGGAGGACCACUAGUGGCGAAGGUUUUUGACUAGAACGCGCUCGACGGUGAGGGACGAAGGCUGGGGGAGCAAACCUAAUUAGAUACCCGGGUAGUCCCAGCCGUAAACGAUGCGGGCUAGGUGUUGGGGUGGCUACGUGCCACUUCAGUGCCGCAGGGAAACCAUUAAGCCCGCCGCCUGGGGAGUACGGCCGCAAGGCUGAAACUUAAAGGAAUUGGCGGGGGAGCACCACAAGGCGUGAAGCUUGCGGUUCAAUUGGAUUCAACGCCGGAAAUCACUAGUGAAU
rnacentral:rRNA from 1 species